rnacentral:rRNA from 1 species
AGUGAACGCUGGCGGCAGGCCUAACACAUGCAAGUCGAACGGCAGCACGGCAGUAGCAAUACUGUGGGUGGCGAGUGGUGGACGGGUGAGGAAUACAUCGGGAUCUACCCUGUUGUGGGGGAUAACGUAGGGAAACUUACGCUAAUACCGCAUAAGAACUGAGGUUGAAAGCGGCGGACCGCAAGGCGUCGCGCGAUUGGAUGAACCGAUGUCCGAUUAGCUAGUUGGCGGGGUAAAGGCCCACCAAGGCGACGAUCGGUAGCUGGGUCUGAGAGGACGACCAGCCACACUGGAACUGAGACACGGUCCAGACUCCUACGGAGGCAGCAGUGGGAAUAUUGGACAAUGGGCGCAAGCCUGAUCCAGCCAUGCCGCGUGGUGAAGAA